rnacentral:lncRNA from 1 species
CCAAAACUGAAAUCACUCACGUGGGUACCUGCCAGGAUGUCAACCACAAUAAAGUAAUUGAGACUAACAGAGAGAACGACAAACAGGAGACGUGGCUGCUGAUGGAGCUGCAGAAGAUCCGCAGGCAGAUGGAGCACUGCGAGGCCAGAAUGACACUCAAAAAUCUGCUGCUCACAGACCAGGGCUCUACACACAACAUCACCGUGAAAAUCAACGAGCUCAAGAGUGUACAGAACGACUCACAAGCUCUGGCCGAGGUUCUCAAUCAGCUUAAAGACAUGCUUGCCAACUUCCGAGGGUCUGAAAAGUACUGCUAUUUACAGAAUGAGAUAUUUGGACUAUUUCAGAAGCUGGAAAAUAUCAAUGGUGUCACAGAUGGCUACUUAAACAGCCUGUGCUCUGUGAGAGCCCUUCUCCAGG